rnacentral:rRNA from 1 species
AUUGAACGCUGGCGGCAUGCUUUACACAUGCAAGUCGAACGGUAACAGGUUAAGCUGACGAGUGGCGAACGGGUGAGUAAUGCAUCGGAACGUGCCCGAUCGUGGGGGAUAACGCAGCGAAAGCUGCGCUAAUACCGCAUACGAUCUGAGGAUGAAAGCGGGGGACCGUAAGGCCUCGCGCGAUCGGAGCGGCCGGUGUCGGAUUAGGUAGUUGGUGGGGUAAAGGCUCACCAAGCCAACGAUCUGUAGCUGGUCUGAGAGGACGACCAGCCACACUGGGACUGAGACACGGCCCAGACUCCUACGGGAGGCAGCAGUGGGGAAUUUUGGACAAUGGGCGAAAGCCUGAUCCAGCAAUGCCGCGUGCAGGAAGAAGGCCUUCGGGUUGUAAACUGCUUUUGUACGGAGCGAAAAGGCUCUCUCUAAUACAGGGGGCUCAUGACGGUACCGUAAGAAUAAGCACCGGCUAACUACGUGCCAGCCGCCGCAGUAA